ACAUAUCAAAAAGAAAAUCCUUUUGAAGGUGUUUUCUUUUUGGACAUGGAGGAUCUAGUGCUGCUGCUUGCUUCACUGCAAGGAUCAGCUCCUCUUAAAUGCAUUAGCAAUGGUUUGAAUGUUUAUUCAAAUGGCAAAACCUUGCUUGAUUUUGGCAUUGAUAAUUAGUUCUUCUAUGCCCAACCUCAAGCUUGGUUUCCUUGGUCAUUGCUUAUAAGCAGUCCCUUGGGACAAAAUUUAACCUUGACAA
rnacentral:misc_RNA from 1 species